rnacentral:rRNA from 1 species
UACGUAGGGCGCAAGCGUUGUCCGGAAUCAUUGGGCGUAAAGAGCUCGUAGGCGGCCUGUCGCGUCUGCUGUGAAAUCCCGGGGCUUAACCCCGGGCGUGCAGUGGAUACGGGCUGGCUGGAGGCAGGCAGGGGAGAACGGAAUUCCCGGUGUAGCGGUGAAAUGCGCAGAUAUCGGGAGGAACACCGGUGGCGAAGGCGGUUCUCUGGGCCUGUACUGACGCUGAGGAGCGAAAGCGUGGGGAGCGAACAGG